rnacentral:rRNA from 1 species
CCUACGGGCGGCUGCAGUGAGGAAUAUUGGUCAAUGGACGCAAGUCUGAACCAGCCAUGCCGCGUGCAGGAAGACGGCUCUAUGAGUUGUAAACUGCUUUUGUCAGGGAACAAAGGCGGGGACGCGUCCCCGGAUGAGUGUACCUGAAGAAAAAGCAUCGGCUAACUCCGUGCCAGCAGCCGCGGUAAUACGGAGGAUGCGAGCGUUAUCCGGAUUUAUUGGGUUUAAAGGGUGUGCAGGGGGUCUGUUAAGUCAGCGGUCAAAGCCCGGGGCUCAACCCCGGCCCGCCGUUGAAACUGGCAGUCUCGAGUUGGAGAGAAGUAUGCGGAAUGCGCGGUGUAGCGGUGAAAUGCAUAGAUAUCGCGCAGAACUCCGAUUGCGAAGGCAGCAUGCCGGCUCCACACUGACGCUGAGGCACGAAAGCGUGGGUAUCGAACAGGAUUAGAUACCCUUGUAGUC